GCGGAACAGCUGUAAGAGAACAACAAAGCUGACGCGAUAUCUAUAGGGUCGACGAUAAGAAGAAGGACAAAAAGAAGGGGGAAAUACAACAAAACGGGUUAUUAACAUUCGUGUCGACACAGGACUCUGAAAAUCACAGAUUCAAGUGUGUAGCGACACAACUGAGGGGAGGAGAAUGAACCAAAAAAAGAAAAUACCCUUCAAAGUGGAAAGAAGCAGUUCGAAAGAGAAGGUGAAUGGAGGGUAAAUCGUACCUUGGCAGAAAAAAGAUGAUUGAGUUGACUAUGGCAAUUGAUACAGUAUGAUUGCUAGUGAAAUGUUGAUUGUUGUUUACCUGAUCCUACUUUAUAUUUCAUUCUUAAUACAAAAUGAAACCACACUUGGUGUAAAUCUUCUUAGUCCGCAUUCACCAUCACAUGUCAUUUAAAUUAUAUUGUGAAUGUAAUUUUCAUUAAUGCUAUUGAAAUUGUGAAAUUAUUCCAAUGUCUCGAGCACUAUUUACUGUUUUAUGAAAUUGAGCACAUUGAUAUAUAUGAAGUCAACUUUGAAUAAGACCAUAAUUGAAACGGUACAGCCUACCUAGAUGGUGCUGGUGGGCUUAAAUAAUAAAUAAAUGAAUGUCUAUUCAAUUGCA